rnacentral:lncRNA from 1 species
AUGGGCCCCCUCCAGCCUGGAGCUGGGAGCCACGGAAGCCAGCCCAGAAAGCUCCCAGCAGCAGCGGCCGUGGGACCGAGGAGGGUCCCCACGUGGCUAGACCACCCCUCUCCCUCCCUCUCCUGCCUGCCCCCCAGCUUCAGGCCACUGCUCCCCAGGCUGGGGGCUCUGGGUGGAGGGGGCAGUCACCCCAAGGCUCCGGGGGAGAUGAGUUGCCACCCGACCAGCACUGGAGAAAUGCCCCAGGCGGCUUCUCCCCAGUUCCCCUUUGAAGUUCCGUCUGCCACCUUGGGCCCUGCCGGUGACACUCCCCACUGCGCGCCCCACCCGCUGCUGACCCAGAGCUGGGUGCCGGAGGCCAGGGGACCUGCCCGCACCCAGGACGCCGGCCCCUCGCCCACACUCACCUUGCAGACACAGUGCGAGCAGCUGGAGCCCCAGGCGGCGCAUGGCCCGGGCGCAGGGUGGGGAUCCGGGGCCGGGACCUGGGGGAGCGUGCAGAUCCGGGGCCGGGACGGGGGGCGUGCUCCGGGCUCACGGUGGGGAUCCGGGGCCGGGACUGGGGGCGUGCUCCGGGCUCACGGUGGGGAUCCGGGGCCGGGACUGGGGGCGUGCUCCGGGCUCACGGUGGGGAUCCGGGGCCGGGACUGGGGGCGUGCUCCGGGCGCACGGUGGGGAUCCGGGGCCGGGACCGGGGGGAGCGCAGGGAUCCGGGGCCAGGACGGGGGUGUGCUCCAGGCACACGGCGGGGAUCCGGGGCCAGGACAGGGGUGCGCUCCAGGCACACGGCGGGGAUCCGGGGCCGGCACAGGACCUGAGCGCUGUGUGCGGGAUCCAGGUUCCAGGGACGCUGUGCUGGCGGGAGGCGGCUGUGUGCUAGGGACUAGGUCGGGCCCCGCCCCGAGACGAGCCCCUGGCCCGCAGUUUAUCAGCUCAUCGGCCCCUCAGACGCCGGGAGGGGCGGGGCUUGGGGCCCACAGGGUGGGGCUCGCUCUCGGGGUUCCCUGCGUCCCUCCUGGGCCCCUGGGGGCUCCUGAUCGGCUCCUGGCGUCCAGCAUGGGGCGGGGGAGGAUAGAAUGA